rnacentral:tRNA from 1 species
ACUUUCAAAGGACACCAGCCGCCCAUUAAUUUUAGGAAUUAACCCUACUUGGUGCAACUCCAAGUGAAAGUA